UUCCGGUUGAUCCCGCCGGAGGCUACCGCUAUUGGAGUUCGAUUAAGCCAUGCGAGUCGCGAGUCUUAGGGACUCGGCGUACCGCUCAGUAACACGUGGGUAACCUGCCCUAUGCUGGGGGAUAACCUCGGGAAACUGAGAAUAAUACCCCAUAGUUCACCACGCCUGGAACGGUGGGUGGAUGAAAGCUCCGGCGGCAUAGGAUGGGCCUGCGGCGUAUCAGGUUGUAGGGGGUGUAAUGUACCCUCUAGCCAUCUACGCGUACGGGUGUUGAGAGACAUCGCCCGGAGAUGGAUUCUGAGACACGAAUCCAGACCCUACGGGGUGCAGCAGGCGCGAAAACUUGGCAAUGCGAGCAAUCGUGACCAGGGAACUCCAAGUGCAUCGGGUAAGACCGAUGCUUUUCUUGACUCUUCAAAGGUCUUGGAAUAAGGGGUGGGUAAGGACGGUGCCAGCCGCCGCGGUAAUACCGGCGCCUCAAGUGGUAGUCGCUUUUAUUGGGCCUAAAACGUCCGUAGCCGGUUUGGUACAUUCGUGGGUAAAUCAAGGCGCUCAACGUCUUGAAUUCUGCGAGCACGGCCAGACUUGGGACCGGGUGAGGUGUGGGGUACUCUCAGGGUAGGGGUAAAAUCCUGUCAUCCUGAGAGGACCACCUGUUGCGAAGGCGCCACACUAGAACGGAUCCGACGGUCAGGGACGAAGCCUAGGGGCACGAACCGGAUUAGAUACCCGGGUAGUCCUAGGUGUAAACGCUGUGGACUUGAUGUUGGGGGCGCUCCGAGCGCUUCCAGUGUCGAAGCGAAGGUGAUAAGUCCACUGCCUGGGGAGUACGGUCGCAAGGCUGAAACUUAAAGGAAUUGGCGGGGGAGCACUGCAACCUGAGGAUUGUGCGGUUUAAUUGGAUUCAACGCCGG
rnacentral:rRNA from 1 species